GAUGAACGCUGGCGGCGUGCCUAAUACAUGCAAGUCGAGCGGACGGACGAUAAGCUUGCUUCUUUGAUGUUAGCGGCGGGCGGGUGAGUAACGCGUGGAUAACCUACCUAUAUUUCUGGGAUAACUACGGAAAACCGGAUCUAAUACCGGAGAAUAUUUUGAACCGCAGGGUUCAAAGGUGAAUUACGGUCUUGGUGUCAGUUAUAGAUGGAUCCGGGCUGCAUUGUCUAGUUGGUAAGGUAAAGGCUUACCAAGGCAACGAUGCAUAACCGAACUGAGAGGGUGAUCGGCCACACUGGAACUGAGACACGGUCCAGACUCCUACGGGAGGCAGCAGUAGGGAAUCUUCGGCAAUGGGCGAAAGCCUGACGCAGCAACGCCGCGUGAGUGAUGAAGGCCUUCGGAUCGUAAAACUCUGUUAUUGGGGAAGAACAUCUGUGUAAGUAGCUGUGGCCAUCUUGACGGUACCUAAUCAAAAAGCACCGGCUAACUACGUG
rnacentral:rRNA from 1 species